rnacentral:lncRNA from 1 species
UUUAGGAGGUUGAAUGACCCUCCUAGGUCUAUCAGUUGCUAUAGACCGUUGUGGUUGUUGAGUAGUAGCGGGGGACUCUUCUUCAACAGAAGUAUCUUGGCUCAUACCAUCUUCUUUUUCUGGAGUUUGUCCUGAGUUAGCAGAUUGCUCCACCUGCACACUUGUCUUAUUUUGACCCUCAACAGGAAUAUUAGUAGAAGAAUAUUCUGACUCGU